rnacentral:rRNA from 1 species
CAGGAUGAACGCUAGCGACAGGCUUAACACAUGCGAAGUCGAGGGGACGAGCAUAAAAGUAAGCAAUACUUGGUGGCGACCGGCGCACGGUGAGUAACGCGUAUGCAACCUACCUAUCAGAGGGGAAUAACCCGGCGAAAGUCGGACUAAUACCGCAUAAAACAGGGGCACCGCAUGGUGAUAUUGUUAAAGAAAUUCGCUGAUAGAUGGGCAUGCGUUCCAUUAGGUAGUUGGUGAGGUAACGGCUCACCAAGCCGACGAUGGAUAGGGGAACUGAGAGGUUGGUCCCCCACACUGGUACUGAGACACGGACCAGACUCCUACGGGAGGCAGCAGUGAGGAAUAUUGGUCAAUGGGCGGGAGCCUGAACCAGCCAAGUCGCCGUGAAGGAAGAAGGAUCUAUGGUUCGUAAACUUCUUUUGCAGGGGAAUAAAGUGCAGGACGUGUCCUGUUUUGUAUGUACCCUGAGAAUAAGGAUCGGCUAACUCCGUGCCAGCCGCCGC